CCCACCACCCCCGGCCUAAGCAGCUACCAUGGCCGAGGUCCCCGGCGCGGUGUUGUCCCAGGCGGGUUGGUAUCUUUCAGAUGAAGGCAUUGAAGCAUGCACAAGUUCUCCUGACAAAGUCAAUAUAAAUGACAUCAUCCUGAUUGCUCUCAAUACAGACUUGAGAACAAUUGGCAAGAAAUUCCUCCCCAGUGACAUCAAUGGUGGAAAGGUGGAAAAGCUUGAAGGUCCAUGUGUUUUGCAAAUUCAAAAAAUUCGCAAUGUUGCUGCACCAAAGGAUAAUGAAGAAUCUCAGGCUGCCCCAAGAAUGCUGCGUUUGCAGAUGACUGAUGGUCAUAUAAGUUGUACAGCAGUAGAAUUUAGUUACAUGUCAAAAAUAAGCCUGAACACACCACCUGGAACUAAAGUUAAGCUUUCAGGCGUUGUGGACAUAAAAAAUGGAUUCCUGCUCUUGAAUGAUUCUAACACCACAGUUCUUGGCGGUGAAGUAGAACACCUUAUUGAGAAAUGGGAGUUACAGAGAAGCUUGUCAAAACACAAUAGAAGCAAUAUUGGAACCGAAGGUGGACCACCUCCUUUUGUGCCUUUUGGACAGAAGUGUGUAUCUCAUGUCCAAGUGGAUAGCAGAGAACUUGAUCGAAGAAAGACAUUACAAGUUACAUUGCCUGUCAAACCUCCAAAUGAUAAUGAUGAAUUUGAAAAGCAAAGGACUGCUGCUAUUGCAGAAGUUGCAAAGAGCAAAGAAACCAAGACAUUUGGAGGAGGUGGUGGUGGUGCUAGAAGUAAUCUCAACAUGAGUGCUGCUGGCAACCGAAACAGGGAGAUUUUACAGAAAGAAAAGUCAAACAAAUCAGAGGGAAAACAUGAAGGUGUCUACAGAGAACUGGUUGAUGAGAAGGCUCUGAGGCACAUAACAGAAAUGGGCUUUAGUAAAGAAGCAUCAAGGCAAGCUCUCAUGGAUAAUGGCAACAACUUAGAAGCAGCACUGAAUGUACUUCUUAACAGCAAUAAACAGAAACCUGUUACGGGUCCACCUCUGAGAGGUAAAGGAAAAGGCAGGGGGCGAAUAAGAUCUGAAGAUGAAGAGGAACUGGGAAAUGCAAGGCCAUCAGCACCAAGCACAUUAUUUGACUUCUUGGAAUCUAAAAUGGGGACUUUGAGUGUGGAAGAACCUAAAUCACAGCCACAGCAGCUUCAUCAAGGACAACACAGAUUGUCAAAUACUGAGCAAAAUGGAGUAAAAGAUAAUAAUCAACCAAGAUAUCUUCCUCGAAAUGAUACCAGACAGCCAAGGAAUGAAAAACCUCCUCGUUUUCAAAGAGACAUCCAAAAUUCAAAGUCAGUUUUAGAAGGCAGUGGAUUACCUAGAAACAGAGGUUCUGAAAGACCAAGUACUUCUUCAGGAUCUGAAGUAUGGGCUGAAGAGAGAAUCAAGUGUGAUAGACCAUAUUCUAGAUAUGAUAGAACUAAAGAUACUUCAUACCCUUUAAGUUCCCAGCACAAUGAUGCUGCAUUUAAAAAAAGGGAUAACUCUAUGCAAAGCAAAUCAGGAAAAGUUCCAUCCUAUGCAGAGGCAAAAGAAAAUCCACUUCCUCAAGAAUCCAUAGAUUAUAAUAAUCAAAAACGUGGGAAAAGAGAAAGCCAAACAGCAAAUCCUGAUCAUUUUUAUGAUAGGAAAUCACGAACAAUAAAUAAUGAAGCUUUUAGUGGUGUAAAAAUUGAAAAACAUUUUAAUGUAAAUGCUGAUUACCAGAAUCCUGUCCGAACAAAUAGUUUCAUUGGUGUUCCAAAUGGAGAGAUAGAAAUGCCACUGAAGGGAAGGCGAGUAGGACCUAUUAAGCCAGCAGGACCCAUCACAGCUACACCCUAUGAUGAUAAAAUAUUUUACAAUAGUGGUCCCAAAAGAAGAUCUGGGCCAAUUAAACCAGAAAAAGUACUUGAAUCAUCUAUUCCUAUGGAGUAUGCAAAACUGUGGAAACCUGGAGAUGAAUGUUUAGCACUUUAUUGGGAAGACAACAAGUUUUACCGAGCAGAAGUUGAAGCUCUUCAUUCUUCAGGUAUGACAGCAGUUGUUAAAUUCAUUGAUUAUGGAAACUAUGAAGAGGUGCUACUAAGCAACAUCAGGCCCAUUCAGACAGAGGCAUGGGAAGAAGAAGCCACCUAUGACCAAACUCUUGAAUUCCGUAGAGGAGGUGAUGGCCAGCCAAGACGAUCCACUCGGCCAACCCAGCAGUUCUACCAACCUCCCCGGGCUCGGACCUAAUGUGAGAAGGUGAUGACAAUCAGUGAAAUGACUAUAGGUUUGAAAGCAGGAAGAAGAUGAAAGAAAACAAAGGACUAAAUAAUUAUCAACCUGGAGUCUUUGUGAAGAAAGGAGCUGUUGACUGAAACAUCCUGGUCAAAACCUGUUGAUAGACCUCCUACUUGCCCUUCAGAAUAAGAUGGAGCCAUGGUGGAUAUUAUUAUUUGGAGAACUAAAAGACAGAUUUUAGGGGCAAAAAUUCAACCCACAUAAAGAAUGGGGGAAAAAAUACAAUAAAUUAAGCAAAUACCUUUUACAAGUGAAAGAAUUUUUUCUUCUGCCAUCAAUAAAACCA